GACGAACGCUGGCGGCGUGCUUAACACAUGCAAGUCGAACGGAAAGGCCCCUUUGGGGGUACUCGAGUGGCGAACGGGUGCGUAACACGUGAGUAACCUGCCCUUGACUUCGGGAUAACUUCAGGAAACUGGGGCUAAUACCGGAUAGGAAUCCUUGCUGCAUGGUGGGGGUUGGAAAGCUUCGGCGGUUUUGGAUGGACUCGCGGCUUAUCAGCUUGUUGGUGGGGUAGUGGCUUACCAAGGCUUUGACGGGUAGCCGGCCUGAGAGGGCGACCGGCCACAUUGGGACUGAGAGACGGCCCAGACACCUACGGGAGGCAGCAGUGGGGAAUAUUGCACAAUGGGCGGAGGCCGGAUGCAGCAACGCCGCGUGCGGGAGGACGGUCUUCGGGUUGUAAACCGCUUUCAGCAGGGGCGAAGCUUGUGGUGACGGUACCUGCAGAAGAAGCACCGGCUAACUACGUG
rnacentral:rRNA from 1 species